rnacentral:rRNA from 1 species
AACGAACGCUGGCGGCAUGCCUAACACAUGCAAGUCGAACGAGACCUUCUGUGCUGUUAGCGCACGAGUGCGUAACGCGUGGGAACCUGCCCUUCGGUUGGGAAUAACUCCCCAAAAGAACUUCUGAUACCGUAUAAUAUCUGCGGACCAAGGAUUGAUAGCCUUUGGAUGGGCCCGCGUUCGAUUAGCUAGUUGGUUGGGUAAAUGCCUACCAAGGCGACGAUCCAUAGCUGGUCUGAGAGGAGGAUCAGCCACACUGGGACUGAGACACGGCCCAGACUCCUACGGGAGGCAGCAGUGGGGAAUAUUGGACAAUGGGCGCAAGCCUGAUCCAGCAAUGCCGCGUGAGUGAUGAAGGCCUUAGGGUUGUAAAGCUCUUUUCUCCGGGAGGAUAAUGACGGUACCGGGAGAAUAAGCCCCGGCUAACUCCGUG